AGUCACUGACAUUAGAUACCCGUGUAGUCCCAGCCGUAAACUAUGCGCGUUAGGUGUAUCGGUGACCACGAGUCACCGAGGUGCCGAAGGGAAACCGUGAAACGUGCCGCCUGGGAAGUACGGUCGCAAGGCUGAAACUUAAAGGAAUUGGCGGGGGAGCACAACAACGGGUGGAGCCUGCGGUUUAAUUGGACUCAACGCCGGACAACUCACCGGGACGACAGCAAUAUGUAGGCCAGGCUGAAGACCUUGCCUGAAUCGCUG
rnacentral:rRNA from 1 species